rnacentral:rRNA from 1 species
GACGAACGCUGGCGGCGUGCUUAACACAUGCAAGUCGAGCGGUAAGGCCCUUUCGGGGGUACGACGAGCGGCGAACGGGUGAGUAACACGUGGGUGACCUGCCCUCCAGCUCUGGGAGUAAAGCCUCGGGAAACCGGGGUCUAACACUGGAUAUGACUCCAUGACGCAUGUUGUGGGGUGGAAAGCCUUGUGCGGCUGAGGAUGGGCCCGCGGCCUAUCAGCUUGUUGGUGGGGUGAUGGCCUACCAAGGCGACGACGGGUAGCCGGCCUGAGAGGGCGA